rnacentral:rRNA from 1 species
CAGCAGUCGCCACGGUAAUACGUAGGUCCCGAGCGUUGUCCGGAUUUAUUGGGCGUAAAGGGAGCGCAGGCGGUUUAGUAAGUCUGAAGUUAAAGGCAUUGGCUCAACCAAUGUAUGCUUUGGAAACUGUUAGACUUGAGUGCAGAAGGGGAGAGUGGAAUUCCAUGUGUAGCGGUGAAAUGCGUAGAUAUAUGGGGGAACACCGGUGGCGAAAGCGGCUCUCUGGUCUGUAACUGACGCUGAGGCGCGAAAGCGUGGGGAGCAAACAGGAUUAGAUACCCCGGUAGUCCCUGUCUCUUAUACA